AAGGAUCAUUAUUGAAUGAACUUGGUGUGGUUGUUGCUGGCCCUUUUGGGGGCAUGUGCACACCCACCAUCCUCAUCUCUCCACCUGUGCACCUCUUGUAGACUUGGGAUAGACUUUCCGAGGCAACUCGGUCUGGAGGAAUGCUGCUCAAGCUUUCUUUGUAUUUCCCAGUCUACGUUUUUUUAUAUACCCCAUAGCAUGUAACAGAAUGUAUCAUUUGGGCCCUUGUGCCUAUAAACCUUAUACAACUUUCAGCAACGGAUCUCUUGGCUCUCGCAUCGAUGAAGAACGCAGCGAAAUGCGAUAAGUAAUGUGAAUUGCAGAAUUCAGUGAAUCAUCGAAUCUUUGAACGCACCUUGCGCUCCUUGGUAUUCCGAGGAGCAUGCCUGUUUGAGUGUCAUUAAAUUCUCAACCCUAUCAGUUUAUUUCUGAUAGUGGCUUGGAUGUGGGGGUUUCUCUUGCUGGCUCAGGUCAGCUCCCCUUAAAUGCAUUAGCUGGUGCCCUGUGUGGACUGUCUAUUGGUGUGAUAAUUAUCUACGCCAUGCAUGGAUGUCUGCUUAGCACUGCUUCUAACCGUCUCUGACAAUACAUGACAAUUUGACCU
rnacentral:rRNA from 1 species